AUCGCUUGUCGCUCCUACCGAUUGAAUAAUCCAGUGAGAUAUUUGGAUCAUGGUGACGUUGGCGGUUCAUUGCCUACAACAUCGUGAGAAGUCCAUUCAACCUUAUCAUUUAGAGGAUGGAGAAGUCGUAACAAGGUUUUCGUAGGUUAAACUACAAAAG
rnacentral:ncRNA from 1 species